rnacentral:rRNA from 1 species
GACGAACGCUGGCGGCGCGCUUAACACAUGCAAGUCGAGCGAGAACCAGGCCUUCGGGCCUGGGGACAGCGGCGAACGGGUGAGUAACACGUGGGCAAUCUGCCCUCGGUUCCGGAAUAGCCCGGGGAAACCCGGAUUAAUGCCGGAUAGCCUCUUGAGCUUUCGGGCUCUCGAGAAAAGGUAGCUUUGGCCUCUGACCGAGGAUGAGCCCGCGGCGGAUUAGCUUGUUGGCGGGGUAACGGCCCACCAAGGCAACGAUCCGUAGCUGGUCUGAGAGGACGAUCAGCCACACUGGGACUGAGACACGGCCCAGACUCCUACGGGAGGCAGCAGUGGGGAAUCUUGCGCAAUGGGCGAAAGCCUGACGCAGCGACGCCGCGUGGGGAAGAAGCUCGUGUAACU